GUGCCAGCACCCUGCGGCGAAUUCCAGCUCCAAUAGCGUAUAUUAAAGUUGACCUGGAUGGAAAGCUCGUAGUUGAACCUUGGGCCUGGCUGGCCGGUCCGCCUCACCGCGUGCACUGGUCCGGCCGGGCCUUUCCCUCUGUGGAACCCCAUACCCUUCACUGGGCGUGGCGGGGAAACAGGACAUUUACUUUGAAAAAAUUAGAGUGCUCCAGGCAGGCCUAUGCUCGAAUACAUUAGCAUGGAAUAAUAAAAUAGGACGCGCGGUUCUAUUUUGUUGGUUUAUAGGACCGCCGUAAUGAUUAAUAGGGACAGUCGGGGGCAUCAGUAUUCAACUGUCAGAGGUGAAAUUCUUGGAUCAGUUGAAGACUAACUACUGCGAAAGCAUUUGCCAAGGAUGUUUUCAUUAAUCAGGAACGAAAGUUAGGGGAUCGAAGACGAUCAGAUACCGUCGUAGUCUUAACCAUAAACUAUGCCGACUAGGGAUCGGACGGUGUUAUUCAUGACCCGUUCGGCACCUUACGAGUAAUCAAAGUGCUUGGGCUCCGUGGGGAGUAUUGGUCGCAUGGCUGAAACUUAAAGAAAUUGACGGAAGGGCACCACCAGGGGUGGAGCCUGCGGGCUAAUCUGACUCAACACGGGGAAACUCACCAGGUCCUAGACACAAUAAGAGAUUGACAGAUAGAGAAGCUCUCUCCUCGUCUUUUGUGGGUGGUGGUGCCGUGGCCGUUCUAGUUUGGUGGGGUGAACUUGUCUGCUCAAUUGCGAAACGAACGAGAACCUAACCUGUCUAAUAAGCCCGCAUUGGCUCCGGUGAGGGGCGUUGGCUUCUUAGAGGGGACUUCCGG
rnacentral:rRNA from 1 species